rnacentral:lncRNA from 1 species
UUUUCAAUGAAGAUGUUUUAGAUACGCUUAUAUUUGCUGCAUACCCAGCUUCUAAUGGUCUCGACCUUCAAUAGUUAGACAGGAAACUUAGGUGAGAUUUUUAUUCUCCAAUGUCUAGAAACCUUUAUUAAGAUUACAAAAAAUAUCACUGAACUUGCCAAAGUCACUUUAUAUUCUAAUUUAAAAUUUCAAAAUCUAAAAAUAGGAAAACUUUCUCAACCACAGAAAGAGACUUAAUGGGAAAUAAAAUGUUUUAUUAUAAAAACUUUGAG